GACGAACGCUGGCGGCGUGCCUAAUACAUGCAAGUUGAGCGCUGAAGGUUGGUACUUGUACCAACUGGAUGAGCAGCGCACGGGUGAGUAACGCGUGGGGAAUCUGCCUUUGAGCGGGGGACAACAUUUGGAAACGAAUGCUAAUACCGCAUAAAAACUUUAAACACAAGUUUUAAGUUUGAAAGAUGCAAUUGCAUCACUCAAAGAUGAUCCCGCGUUGUAUUAGCUAGUUGGUGAGGUAAAGGCUCACCAAGGCGAUGAUACAUAGCCGACCUGAGAGGGUGAUCGGCCACAUUGGGACUGAGACACGGCCCAAACUCCUACGGGAGGCAGCAGUAGGGAAUCUUCGGCCAUGGACGAAAGUCUGACCGAGCAACGCCGCGUGAGUGAAGAAGGUUUUCGGAUCGUAAAACUCUGUUGGUAGAGAAGAACGUUGGUGAGAGUGGAAAGCUCAUCAAGUGACGGUAACUACCCAGAAAGGGACGGCUAACUACGUG
rnacentral:rRNA from 1 species